AAAAAAAGAAGUUUUAAUAAGUACAUGAUUAACCAUUUUUACAGUAUAGUAAAAUAGUUUUUAGUUUUCAGUUGAGGAAGAAUUUUAUGUUAAUGUUAAUGCAAAAGGUACAAAUAUUGACAGUUGAACCAUCACCACCUCCACAGCAACCUUAUCUCAAGCAUUCAAUUGUAUUUUAAGAUAUCUUUAUUCAAAUCAAGUGUGACUACUAUACCAAAAGACUGUAGAAUAGACCAAUCAACUAACCCAUCAGUACUUGCAAAGUCUUCUUUUCUGUUAGCUCGAAAAUUGAGUUCUAAAAUACCAUUAUCCACAUAACUACUAUAUCGAAGCACAAACUAAUGGAUUGAUCA